GUGACCUCCUGGGAGAGGAGCCCUCUCAGGGAAGCCUCCCAGGACCCGAUUCCGCAGGGGCCCGUCCUGUCCCACCUGCAGCAGUGAGGGUGACCUGGGGCAGGGGAGGGGAGCAGCGCUGUGGUUCAGGACGGUCAGGCUCUUUCCCUGCAUCUCUGGGGCUCGGCUCUGGUGCUGGGAAUAAGGGCUGCAGGUCAGACUCCCGGGUUCCCUUCCCAGCUCUGCCGCUUCCUGGCUGGGGCUCCUGGGGCAGGCGAUUCCCCUCUCUGAGCCUCAGUUUUCCAUCUGUGAAAUGGGUUGUGGGGGCGGCAAUUCCAUGUUGCACAACUGCUUGUAAGGGUUGGAGGUCUUGAAGGAAAGACCCGGCUCGCGCCUGCACACAGUAGGUGCUCACAUCAAUGACGUCAUUCCCACUCCUGACGUUAUCAUGCUCAAGGUCUGGGAAGAUACCUGGAGGCUUUGAUUGGGGUCUCGGCGGCCUUCGUCCUGCUGUUCUUCCUCCUCCUCUGCCUCCUCCUCCGACGUCAACGUCAGAGCAAACACAAGAUAUCGGACCAGAGAAAGACUGAUUUCCAGCGUCCUGCAGGGGCUGCGGAGCCAGAGCCCAAGGACAGGGGCCUGCUGAGGAGGUCCAGCCCGGCUGCUGACGUCCAGGAAGAAAACCUCUAUGCUGCCGUGAAGGACACACAGCCUGAGGACGGGGUGGAGCUGGACAGUCGGAGCCCAUAUGAUGAAGACCCCCAGGCAGUGACGCAUGCCCUGGUGAAACACUCCACACCUAGGAGAGAAAUGGCCUCUCCUCCCUCCCCACUGUCCGAGGAAUUCCUGGACACAAAGGACACACAGGCGGAAGAGGACAGGCAGAUGGACACUGAGGCUGCUGCAUCUGAAGACCCCCAAGAUGUGACCUAUGCCCAGCUGCAGAGCUUGACCCUCAGACGGGAGGCAACUGAGCCUCCUCCAUCCCAGGAAAGGGAACCUCCAGCUGAGUCCAGCGUCUACGCCACCCUGGCCAUCCACUAGCCCAGAGGGGACCCAGAUCCCACAUUCCAGGGAGUCUGGAACGCAUGGGAGUUGCCCCCAGUGGACACCAUUGAACCCCAGCCAGCCUGGACCCACACCAGGAGAUGCUGGGAACUUUUAGGGGUCAGUCAGUUCUGCAGUAUAACUAACAUCUACACAUUUUUGAAAUAAAACAACAGACUUGUCAAUAAUCAUUGAAGUCACUGAGAAAACUAAAAGUCAGAAAGUGCAUUGAACUGAAUCACAAUGUAAAUAUUACACAUCAGACGAUGAAAUUGGAAAACUACAAGCCACGAAUGAAUGAAUUAGAAAAGAAAAAAAAAGGAGAUGGGCACAGGAGGUCGAGGCUGCAGUGAGCCAAGAUCGUACCACAGCACUUCAGCCUGAGCAACAGUAAGACCUUGUCUCAAAAAAAAAUAAACCAAAACAAUUAAAAAGCCAGUGAAAUUACCUGUUGAUUAGUGUUUGCAUAAUACAUUUUUAUCCUUCUGCUUUUUUCAUGUGAUAAAAUAUAAACAACAGGCUGGGCACGGUGGCUCACACCUGUAAUCCCAGCACUUUGGGAGGCUGAGG
rnacentral:lncRNA from 1 species